rnacentral:rRNA from 1 species
GACGUAGGGGGCGAGCGUUGUCCGGAUUCAUUGGGCGUAAAGCGCGCGUAGGCGGCCCGGUAAGUCGGAUGUGAAAUCUCACGGCUCAACCGUGGAACUGCAUUCGAUACUGUCGGGCUAGAGGCAGGUAGGGGAGAUCGGAAUUCCCGAUGUAGCGGUGAAAUGCGCAGAUAUCGGGAGGAACACCGGUGGCGAAGGCGGAUCUCUGGGCCAUUACUGACGCUGAGGAGCGAAAGCGUGGGGAGCGAACAGG